ACUCUUCAACUCCCCAGUUUCUUGUAGACUGUGUGGAUGUUUGGAUUCUGAGCGCUGCUGGCUCCUCGUGAGCGAAGCUCGUUCGUAAUACAUUAGCAUCUCUAAUUCGAAUUCGGAUUGACUCAGUGUAAUAGACUAUUCGCUGAGGACACUAGUAAUAGUGGCCGUGUUCAAUACAAGAGAAGCUUCUAGCCCCUCUAGUCAUUUUUGA
rnacentral:misc_RNA from 1 species